UACGUAGGGUGCGAGCGUUAAUCGGAAUUACUGGGCGUAAAGCGUGCGCAGGCGGUCUGUUAAGACCGAUGUGAAAUCCCCGGGCUUAACCUGGGAACUGCAUUGGUGACUGGCAGGCUUUGAGUGUGGCAGAGGGAGGUAGAAUUCCACGUGUAGCAGUGAAAUGCGUAGAGAUGUGGAGGAAUACCGAUGGCGAAGGCAGCCUCCUGGGCCAACACUGACGCUCGAGUGCACGAAAGCGUGGGGAGCAAACAGG
rnacentral:rRNA from 1 species